rnacentral:lncRNA from 1 species
GACCACACCCACACCGGUAAACCCCCCCCUCUCCUUUCUCCUCCGAUCUACACCCCCCCCCAUCCUCCUUUCUGAUUCGAAAACGGACCACCACCACUGUCUGGUGGUGGUGUGCGGCGGCUAUCAAGCAGAGAGAGAGAGAAACCGAGAGAGAGAAAGAGACUGAAAGAGGGAGAGAGAGCGCCGGAGAUAGGAGCGGCGGCGGCGGUGGAUCGAGCGACGGCAGCGGCAAUGGUGAUCGGCGAUUGCAUCUCGGACCGGUGGUCCUUGUUUUUAACCGGCGGUCCCUGGCUCGAUUCAGGUGGUCCAGGCUCGAGUUCAAGUGACUCGGUUCAGAAUGAUUCAAGUAUGGUUCGGGUUAGCUCCGGGCCGGCCGAUGGUGUGGUGGUUCGGUGGAGACACAGAUGCCGACAUUGAAAAUGAGUAUGUUCAGAUUAAGUAAGCUCAACAUCAAUUUCUUUAGUUCAUUUCAGUUUUUAAUACGGGUUGUUUACUUCUUGUUUCGGGUCAAACCCGGUUGACUCGGUCAACUCGGGUCAACGACAGGUCAACAGGUCAACAACUCGGUCAACCGCAGUCAACAGUAGCUUCGGCUCGGGUCCGACACGGUCAGAUUCGGUUUUGGUAUGGUUCGGAUCAACUCGGUCAAACCGAGUUGACUCGGUCAACUCGGGUCAACUCAGCGAGUGAACUCAGCCGGUCAACCCGGUUGACUCGGAAAGUCAGCUGGUCAACUCACAACGAAAACAGCGCGAAAGUGUUGGAAUAUUGUAGGAUGCACGCUAGCGAGUCUCAUCUUGGAAGCGACAUCACAAAGUCGCAUUUAGCUAGCUUUGCACAGGAAUAUUCAGGCGAGUUGCAUUUCUAAGACAAAGCACGGUUGGAAUAGGAGGACCAUGAAGAGUCGAGUACUUAGUGGGCGUUCAGUUUUUAGAAAGACUUAGAUUAUUUGCUUCCGCUGUGCAAUGAAGAUACCAGUCCAGUCACGCCAAUGCUCUGAUAAUUUCGG